UAAGGAAUAUUGGACAAUGGGCGGAAGCCUGAUCCAGCCAUGCCGCGUGAAGGAAGAAGGCGCUCAGCGUUGUAAACUUCUUUUGGACGGGAACAAAGGCGUUUCUGCGGAAGCGUUUAAGGGUACUGUCAGAAUAAGCACCGGCUAACUCCGCGCCAGCAGCCGCGGUAAUACGGAGGGUGCGAGCGUUAUCCGGAAUCACUGGGUUUAAAGGGUGCGUAGGCGGUAGGGUAAGUCAGUUGUGAAAUUCCCCGGCUUAACCGGUGGGACUGCUAUUGAUACUGCUUUACUUGAAGCAGGUUGAGGUGAGCGGAAUGUGGCAUGUAGCGGUGAAAUGCAUAGAUAUGCCAUAGAACACCGAUUGCGAAGGCAGCUUGCUGGACCUUGAUUGACGCUGAGGCACGAAAGCGUGGGGAGCGAACAG
rnacentral:rRNA from 1 species